UACGUAGGGACCAAGCGUUGUUCGGAUUUACUGGGCGUAAAGGGCGCGUAGGCGGCAAUUCAAGUCAUCUGUGAAAUCUCCGGGCUUAACUCGGAACGGUCAGAUGAUACUGCUUUGCUAGAGUACAGAAGGGGCAAUCGGAAUUCUUGGUGUAGCGGUGAAAUGCGCAGAUAUCAGGAGGAACACCGGUGGCGAAGGCGGGUCUCUGGGCCGAUACUGACGCUGAGGAGCGAAAGCGUGGGGAGCGAACAGG
rnacentral:rRNA from 1 species